rnacentral:rRNA from 1 species
CCUACGGGUGGCAGCAGUCGCGAAACCUUUGCAAUACACGAAAGUGUGACAGGGCUAUCCCGAGUGCCAUCCGCUGAGGAAGGCUUUUACCCAGUCUAGAAAGCUGGGGGAAUAAGGAGAGGGCAAGUCUGGUGUCAGCCGCCGCGGUAAUACCAGCUCUCCGAGUGGUGUGGAUGUUUAUUGGGCCUAAAGCAUCCGUAGCUGGCUAGGUAAGUCCCUUGUUAAAUCCACCGAAUUAAUCGUUGGAUCGCGGGGGAUACUGCUUGGCUAGGGGACGAGAGAGGCAAACGGUAUUUUCGGGGUAGGGGUGAAAUCCUAUAAUCCCGGGAAGACCACCAGUGGCGAAGGCUGUUUGCUAGAACGCGCCCGACGGUGAGGGAUGAAAGCUGGGGGAGCGAACCGGAUUAGAUACCCCUGUAGUC